rnacentral:rRNA from 1 species
CACGCUGUAAACGAUGAUCACUAGAUGUGGGUCUUCUUUGGAGGAUCCGUGUCGAAGCUAACGCGUUAAGUGAUCCGCCUGAGUAGUACGAUCGCAAGAUUAAAACUCAAAGAAAUUGACGGGGGUCCGCACAAGCGGUGGAACAUGUGGUUUAAUUCGACACUACGCGAGUAACCUUACCCAGGCUUGACAUUUUUGUGACGAUGCUAGAGAUAGUAUUUCUUGGGGUAACUCAAGCACAUUAACAGGUGC